rnacentral:lncRNA from 1 species
GGUUUGAUUUAGGAUUUAGGAUUUGAUUAGGAUUUGAUUUAGAAUUUAGGAUUUGAUUAGGAUUUAAUUGAAGAUUUAGGAUUUUAUUAGGAUUUUUUGAGGGUUUAAGUUUUAAUUAGUUUUUGGCCCAAAGUUUGAAUGAAGUCCAAUAAGAUUUUAACUAGGAUUAAAUUAAGAUUGAAUUAAGAUGUAUUUGAGAUAUAUUUGUGAUCAUUCAAAUAUUUCUUUAAGAUUUCUUAUUAUUUCUUUGUAAUUCCUUUGAGGUUUCUUUGAAUUUGAU